ACCGCGACAGCUCAGCCGGUAGAGCAUCUGCUCGGUAUCCGGAGGGUCACCGGUUGGAUUCCGGCUCGCGGUG
rnacentral:tRNA from 1 species